rnacentral:rRNA from 1 species
UGGCUCAGAUUGAACGCUGGCGGCAGGCCUAACACAUGCAAGUCGAGCGGAUGAAGGGAGCUUGCUCCUGGAUUCAGCGGCGGACGGGUGAGUAAUGCCUAGGAAUCUGCCUGGUAGUGGGGGAUAACGUCCGGAAACGGGCGCUAAUACCGCAUACGUCCUGAGGGAGAAAGUGGGGGAUCUUCGGACCUCACGCUAUCAGAUGAGCCUAGGUCGGAUUAGCUAGUUGGUGGGGUAAAGGCCUACCAAGGCGACGAUCCGUAACUGGUCUGAGAGGAUGAUCAGUCACACUGGAACUGAGACACGGUCCAGACUCCUACGGGAGGCAGCAGUGGGGAAUAUUGGACAAUGGGCGAAAGCCUGAUCCAGCCAUGCCGCGUGUGUGAAGAAGGUCUUCGGAUUGUAAAGCACUUUAAGUUGGGAGGAAGGGCAGUAAGUUAAUACCUUGCUGUUUGACGUACCAACAG